rnacentral:misc_RNA from 2 species
AACGCACAUUGCGCCCGCCAGUAUUCUGGCGGGCAUGCCUGUCCGAGCGUCAUUUCAACCAUCAAGCCCCCGGCUUGUGUUGGGGACCUGCGGCACACCCGCAGGCCCUGAAAACCAGUGGCGGGCUCGCUGUCCACACCGAGCGUAGUAGCAUAUCUUUGUCUCGCUCAGGGCGUGCGGCGGGUUCCGGCCGUGAAACCCACCUUCUCGAAGGUACCCAAAGGUUGACCUCGGAUCAGGUAGGAAGACCCGCUGAACUUAA